CAAGGAAGUUGCACAGGAUUUCCCAACAUCCCCUCCCAAAUUGGUAUAGAACCUUCACAAAAACACAUGGAGCAACUGCGAAAAGAAAUGGCUGAGGAUAUACUAAAAAUGUCUGAGUUCAACAAAGCCAACAACUGCUUCUUGUGUGCCACUGAAAGAACCUGGAUGUGGCCCAAGGACUGACUGGGAAUGGAGACAAAAGAGUUCAGAGUGAAGAACACAAACUGGAAGUGCUGUGAAAAUGUAUGCUAUACCCUAUCCACAAUGAAGAGGCUCUGAAAUGUACAUCAACCAGGGAUAAAGAGAAAGUUAACACUGAAAUGUUUUGUACUUAUUUGAAGUAAUGUGGUCUGUUGACAUGUUGGAAAAGAUUAA